CAAUAGCGUAUAUUAAAGUUGUUGCGGUUAAAAAGCUCGUAGUUGGAUUUCUGCUGAGGACGAUCGGUCCGCCCACUGGGUGAGUAUCUGGCUCGGCCUUGGCAUCUUCUUGGAGAACGUUGCUGCACUUGACUGUGUGGUGCGGUAUCCAGGACUUUUACUUUGAGGAAAUUAGAGUGUUUCAAGCAGGCGCACGCCUUGAAUACAUUAGCAUGGAAUAAUAAGAUAGGACCUUGGUUCUAUUUUGUUGGUUUCUAGAGCUGAGGUAAUGAUUAAUAGGGAUAGUUGGGGGCAUUCGUAUUUAACUGUCAGAGGUGAAAUUCUUGGAUUUGUUAAAGGCGGACUACUGCGAAAGCAUUUGCCAAGGAUGUUUUCAUUGA
rnacentral:rRNA from 1 species